UGCCCNCUGAUUUUUAAUUAAAGGGCUGCAGUAUUUUGACUGUACAAAGGUANCAUAAUCAUUAGUCAUUUAAUUGAUGACUUGUAUGAAAGAUUGGAUGAGAUAUAAGCUGUCUCAUAAGUAAAUUUUAAAAUUUAAUUUUUUAGUUAAAAAGCUAAGAUAAUUUAAAAAGACGAGAAGACCCUAUAGAGUUUAAUUUAAAAAUUUAAUUUAAGAUUAUAAUUUAAAUUUAAGGUUAAAAUUUAUUUUUGAAUUUUGUUGGGGUGAUAAAAAAAUUUAAUUAACUUUUUUUUUAGUUUUACAUAAAUAAGUGAUUUAAUGAUCCAUUUUUAUUGAUUAUAAGAAAAAAUUACCUUAGGGAUAACAGCGUAAUUUUUUUUUUUAGUUCAUAUAAAAAAAAAAGUUUGCGACCUCGAUGUUGGAUUAAGAUAAAAUUUAAAUGUAGAAGUUAAAA
rnacentral:rRNA from 1 species